rnacentral:rRNA from 1 species
UACCGGCGCCUCAAGUGGUAGUCGCUUUUAUUGGGCCUAAAACGUCCGUAGCCGGUUUGGUACAUUCGUGGGUAAAUCAAGGCGCUCAACGUAUGGGCUGCCGAAAAUACUGUAGAGAUAGGGAGUGGGAGAGGUAGACGGUACUCGGUAGGAAGGGGUAAAAUCCUUUGAUCUAUCGAUGACCACCUGUGGCGAAGGCGGUCUACCAGAACACGUUCGACGGUGAGGGAUGAAAGCUGGGGGAGCAAACCGG